rnacentral:lncRNA from 1 species
GUCUAAGUCCAGUAAUUGGCAUCUGACAUCCAAAUGUUGUUUUCUUUGUUGGAGAUUGGUCUAAGUCCAGUGAUUGGCAUCCGGUAUCCACUUUUAAUUUCUUUGUUGAGGAGAUUAGUAUAAGUCCAUAGAGUGGCCUCUAAUAUCCAGUUCUGUUUUAGGAGAUUGGUAUAGGUCCAGUAAUUGGCAUCCGGUAUCCACUUUUGUUGACUUUCUUUCUUCUUUUGCUUUGUUUGUUUUGUUAUUACUCAUUGCCUAUUCCAAAGGACGCACUUGAAUCAUCUUCUAUAUGAUUUCAAGAGGUGAACCUUCU